UUGAACGCUGGCGGCAGGCCUAACACAUGCAAGUCGAACGGUAACAGGAAACAGCUUGCUGUUUCGCUGACGAGUGGCGGACGGGUGAGUAAUGUCUGGGAAACUGCCUGAUGGAGGGGGAUAACUACUGGAAACGGUAGCUAAUACCGCAUAACGUCGCAAGACCAAAGAGGGGGACCUUCGGGCCUCUUGCCAUCGGAUGUGCCCAGAUGGGAUUAGCUUGUUGGUGGGGUAACGGCUCACCAAGGCGACGAUCCCUAGCUGGUCUGAGAGGAUGACCAGCCACACUGGAACUGAGACACGGUCCAGACUCCUACGGGAGGCAGCAGUGGGGAAUAUUGCACAAUGGGCGCAAGCCUGAUGCAGCCAUGCCGCGUGUAUGAAGAAGGCCUUCGGGUUGUAAAGUACUUUCAGCGGGGAGGAAGGGAGUAAAGUUAAUACCUUUGCUCAUUGACGUUACCCGCAGAAGAAGCACCGGCUAACUCCGUGCCAGCAGCCGCGGUAAUACGGAGGGUGCAAGCGUUAAUCGGAAUUACUGGGCGUAAAGCGCACGCAGGCGGUUUGUUAAGUCAGAUGUGAAAUCCCCGGGCUCAACCUGGGAACUGCAUCUGAUACUGGCAAGCUUGAGUCUCGUAGAGGGGGGUAGAAUUCCAGGUGUAGCGGUGAAAUGCGUAGAGAUCUGGAGGAAUACCGGUGGCGAAGGCGGCCCCCUGGACGAAGACUGACGCUCAGGUGCGAAAGCGUGGGGAGCAAACAGGAUUAGAUACCCUGGUAGUCCACGCCGUAAACGAUGUCGACUUGGAGAUUGUGCCCUUGAGGCGUGGCUUCCGGAGCUAACGCGUUAAGUCGACCGCCUGGGGAGUACGGCCGCAAGGUUAAAACUCAAAUGAAUUGACGGGGGCCCGCACAAGCGGUGGAGCAUGUGGUUUAAUUCGAUGCAACGCGAAGAACCUUACCUGGUCUUGACAUCCACGGAAGUUUUCAGAGAUGAGAAUGUGCCUUCGGGAACCGUGAGACAGGUGCUGCAUGGCUGUCGUCAGCUCGUGUUGUGAAAUGUUGGGUUAAGUCCCGCAACGAGCGCAACCCUUAUCCUUUGUUGCCAGCGGUCCGGCCGGGAACUCAAAGGAGACUGCCAGUGAUAAACUGGAGGAAGGUGGGGAUGACGUCAAGUCAUCAUGGCCCUUACGACCAGGGCUACACACGUGCUACAAUGGCGCAUACAAAGAGAAGCGACCUCGCGAGAGCAAGCGGACCUCAUAAAGUGCGUCGUAGUCCGGAUUGGAGUCUGCAACUCGACUCCAUGAAGUCGGAAUCGCUAGUAAUCGUGGAUCAGAAUGCCACGGUGAAUACGUUCCCGGGCCUUGUACACACCGCCCGUCACACCAUGGGAGUGGGUUGCAAAAGAAGUAGGUAGCUUAACCUUCGGGAGGGCGCUUACCACUUUGUGAUUCAUGACUGGGGUG
rnacentral:rRNA from 1 species